UGAAAUCUGCAGGACAGUAGCUCUCCAGGAGCAGGGUUGGAGACCCCUGCUUUAGAGGAUGUGAGUGUGUCAGAGGCUGCGUAAUGAAGUAUUUCUCAAAGGAAGUCCACCCUCAUCCGUGUCCCUCUUACCCACACGUCUCACUCCUGCAAUUACAGAUCAUAAAUGAAGAAACUUUGGUUAAUUUCAGAGCAGAUUUGGAAUGCCAUGAAGCCCCCCACCCACCGCGCUCCAGUAUGAAGUAAUGGGAUGCUAUUGAAGAUGCUGCCUUUGAUGUCUGGAAGCAGAUGGGCAGAGGAGGAGAGCUGCGUGCUGACAGGUAUCUCUCUCAUCAUGUCUGAAGUCCAGAGGGGAUGUGAAGCUCUGCAAGACACACACUGAAGGAGACUGCGUUGAUUGUUCUGAUGUGAUCCUGGCACGGCCCUGACGUAAUUUAUGAAGCGCU
ensembl:lncRNA